GUGCCAGCCGCCGCGGUAAUACGUAGGCAGCAAGCGUUGUUCGGAGUUACUGGGCGUAAAGGGUGCGUAGGCGGUUCCCUAAGUUUGGUGUGAAAUCUCCCGGCUCAACUGGGAGGGUGCGCCGAAAACUGGGGAGCUAGAGUGUGGGAGAGGUGAGUGGAAUUCCUGGUGUAGCGGUGAAAUGCGUAGAUAUCAGGAGGAACACCGGUGGUGUAGACGGCUCACUGGACCAUUACUGACGCUGAGGCACGAAAGCGUGGGUAGCAAACAGGAUUAGAUACCCGAGUAGUCC
rnacentral:rRNA from 1 species